GGGCGCUCUUGGCUUGUUUGUCAUGAGCGUUGAGCAGUUUGCUUGUGGCAGACAAACGAAAGCCCCGUUAUCCGGUUACUGUUAGCGCAGUAACUUUCAUUUAACGAGGCUCUAGUUAUGUUUCACAGCUUAAUUAUACCGCCUCUUUUACUGUGGAGGCAACAAAAAUGCCGAAAAA
rnacentral:antisense_RNA from 1 species